rnacentral:rRNA from 1 species
CUCGUAGGCGGUUUGUCGCGUCGUCCGUGAAAACUUGGGGCUCAACCUCAAGCUUGCGGGCGAUACGGGCAGACUUGAGUACUGCAGGGGAGACUGGAAUUCCUGGUGUAGCGGUGAAAUGCGCAGAUAUCAGGAGGAACACCGGUGGCGAAGGCGGGUCUCUGGGCAGUAACUGACGCUGAGGAGCGAAAGCGUGGGUAGCAAACAGGAUUAGAUACCCUGGUAGUCCACGCCGUAAACGGUGGGCGCUAGGUGUGGGUUUCCUUCCACGGGAUCCGUGCCGUAGCUAACGCAUUAAGCGCCCCGCCUGGGGAGUACGGCCGCAAGGCUAAA